CCUACGGGUGGCAGCAGUGAGGAAUAUUGGUCAAUGUACGCAAGUCUGAACCAGCCAUGCCGCGUGCAGGAAGACGGCUCUAUGAGUUGUAAACUGCUUUUGUACGAGGGUAAAUCCCGAUACGUGUAUCGGGUUGAAAGUAUCGUACGAAUAAGUAUCGGCUAACUCCGUGCCAGCAGCCGCUGUAAUACGGAGGAUUCAAGCGUUAUCCGGAUUUAUUGGGUGUAAAGGGUGCGGAGGCGGUUCGAUAAGUUAGAGGUGAAAUCCCGGGGCUCAACCCCGUCGAGCCGUUGAAACUGGCAGACUUGAGUUGGCGAGAAGUACGCGGAAUGCGCGGUGUAGCGGUGAAAUGCAUAGAUAUCGCGCAGAACUCCGAUUGCGAAGGCAGCGUACCGGCGCCAGACUGACGCUGAGGCACGAAAGCGUGGGGAUCGAACAGGAUUAGAUACCCCAGUC
rnacentral:rRNA from 1 species